UACGGGGGGGGCAAGCGUUGUUCGGAAUUACUGGGCGUAAAGGGCUCGUAGGCGGCCAACUAAGUCAUACGUGAAAUCCCUCGGCUUAACCGGGGAACUGCGUCUGAUACUGGAUGGCUUGAGUUCGGGAGAGGGAUGCGGAAUUCCAGGUGUAGCGGUGAAAUGCGUAGAGAUCGGGAGGAACACCAGUGGCGAAGGCGGCUUCCUGGACCAGACCUGACGCUGAGGCGCGAAAGCGUGGGGAGCGAUCCGG
rnacentral:rRNA from 1 species